ACUCCUACGGGAGGCAGCAGUGGGGAAUAUUGCACAAUGGGCGCAAGCCUGAUGCAGCCAUGCCGCGUGUGUGAAGAAGGCCUUCGGGUUGUAAAGCACUUUCAGUCGUGAGGAAGGUAGUGUAGUUAAUAGCUGCAUUAUUUGACGUUAGCGACAGAAGAAGCACCGGCUAACUCCGUGCCAGCAGCCGCGGUAAUACGGAGGGUGCGAGCGUUAAUCGGAAUUACUGGGCGUAAAGCGCAUGCAGGUGGUUGUUAAGUCAGAUGUGAAAGCCCGGGGCUCAACCUCGGAAUAGCAUUUGAAACUGGCAGACUAGAGUACUGUAGAGGGGGUAGAAUUUCAGGUGUAGCGGUGAAAUGCGUAGAGAUCUGAAGGAAUACCGGUGGCGAAGGCGGCCCCUGGACAGAUACUGACACUCAGAUGCGAAAGCGUGGGAGCAAACAGGAUUAGAUACCCCGUGGUAGCGACUGA
rnacentral:rRNA from 1 species